GGCAGUAUAGCACAGUGGUUAAGGUGCAGGUCUCGUAACCAAGAGGUUGACAGUUCGAUUCCCCACUGGAA